CAGUAAUGGCGAAUGAACAGGGAUGAGCUCAGUAUGGAAAUUGGGGCCUGUGGCCUUGAAUUGUAGUCUGGAGAUGUACUACCAACUGGGGCGCAGAUGUAAGCCUCUUGGAAAAGAGCAUCAAUGAGGGUGAGAGUCCCGCUUGGCAUCUGCAGUCCCCAGUGCACGGUGUACCUUCUAAGAGUCACGUUCCUCGGGAUUGGAGCGCAAAUUGGGUGGUAAAUUUCAUCUAAAGCUAAAUAUUGUUUCGAGACCGAUAGCAAACAAGUACCAUGAGGGAAAGGUGAAAAGGACUUUGAAAAGAGAGUUAAAAGUGCCUGAAAUUGCUGAAAGGGAAGCGAAUGGAACCAGCGUAACUUGGUGAGAUUGCUGCGUAUCAAUGUGAUUGCUUGCUGCUUCAACGUAAGUGUGGUAGUAAGUCUUGAACAGGACAUGCGUGGUGUUUCUUGCCUUGUGUGUCACUGCCAGUUCACAGCUGGGGAAAACUUCAGGGGCAUGGUAGCUUGUCUCCGGAUGGGUGAACGUGUCUGCUGGAACUCAUUUGUGGACUGAUUGGUGACUAAAUGGUUCCAUCUGACCCGUCUU
rnacentral:rRNA from 1 species